AGAGUUUGAUCCUGGCUCAGGAUGAACGCUAGCGGCAGGCCUAACACAUGCAAGUCGAGCGGUAGGGACCUUCGGGUCCUGAGAGCGGCGCACGGGUGCGUAACGCGUAUGCAACCUGCCCUGUACAGGGGAAUAGCCCGUCGAAAGGCGGAUUAAUGCCCCAUGGCUCCUUCGAGAGGCAUCUCUUGGAGGGUAAAGAUUUAUCGGUACAGGAUGGGCAUGCGUGCCAUUAGCUGGACGGUGGGGUAACGGCCCACCGUGGCGACGAUGGCUAGGGGUUCUGAGAGGAAGGCCCCCCACACUGGGACUGAGACACGGCCCAGACUCCUACGGGAGGCAGCAGUGAGGAAUAUUGGUCAAUGGGCGGAAGCCUGAACCAGCCAUGCCGCGUGCGGGAAGAAGGCGCUACGCGUCGUAAACCGCUUUUGUCCGGGGGUAACCGCGGGGACGUGUCCCCGCCUGCAAGUACCGGACGAAUAAGGGUCGGCUAACUCCGUGCCAGCAGCCGCGGUAAUACGGAGGACCCGAGCGUUAUCCGGAUUCAUUGGGUUUAAAGGGUGCGCAGGCGGCCCGGUCAGUCAGCGGUGAAAUGCCCGCGCUUCACGCGGGAGCUGCCGUUGAUACUGCCGGGCUAGAAUCUCAGCGAGGCGGGCGGAAUGCGCGGUGUAGCGGUGAAAUGCAUAGAUAUCGCGCAGAACGCCGAUGGGGAGCCAGCUCGCCAGCUGGGUAUUGACGCU
rnacentral:rRNA from 1 species